rnacentral:rRNA from 1 species
UACGUAGGGGCCUAGCGUUGUCCGGAAUUAUUGGGCGUAAAGAGCUCGUAGGCGGUUCGGCAAGUCGGAUGUGAAAUCUCCACGCUUAACGUGGAAGGGCCAUUCGAAACUGCUGUGACUCGAGUCCGGUAGGGGAGUGUGGAAUUCCCGGUGUAGCGGUGAAAUGCGCAGAUAUCAGGAGGAACACCGAUGGCGAAGGCAGGUCUCUGGGCCACUACUGACGCUGAGAAGCGAAAGCAUGGGGAGCGAACAGG